AUUUUUAGCGACAAAAAAUAUUUUAGUCGCUAUAUAGUGAGUUUUGGCAACUAAAAUCAUUUGGUCGCCGAACGAAAAAUAAAAAAUUAUUUUUUAUGUUUUGGCGACCAAAAGUUUGGUCUCCAAAAACAUACUUUCAACGACAAAAAAAUUUAAUCGCCAAAAAGCUAAAAUAUUUGGCGGGAAACCUUUCAAAUUCUGGAGGGUUAAAUAAAAUAAAUUAAUUGGCGACUAAAAAUUUUAGUCGCUAACGGUGUAAUAUAUAUAUAUAUAUAUUUGGUUUCCAAACCAAACAAACCAACGCCUCUCUGUCUGUCUCUCUCUAGCGUCCGUCUCCCUCUCUGGUGCCUGUUCUGGAGCUCUCGGCUACUAUUGCUGUGGCCACGACCUUCUUCUUUGUCCUAUCUCUCUCCUUCUCCUCCUCUUUCUUGUUCUUGCCCCUCUCCCGCAGCCUUAACCACCGCCGAAGCCGUCGUGUCUGGAAGAGAAAUGAUCUCGCUGAUAGCAGAGGAUGUAAGAUGGGUGAACGAUUAGAUCGAGUCCAAAAACAUCAUAUGCACGACAAUGUCCUCCGUAAGGGCAUUAACCCUCGCUCUCGCGCUCAACAGCUCCAAGAUCUUAUUCAGUCAGUAAACUCUCUCUCUCUCUCUCUUUCAAUUUGUGUAUGUAUGUAUUGGAUUUUUGGAAAUCUACACUUGUCAAGCUCUUCAUUGAAAAGAAAUGGAGAAUUUAGGUUUUGGAUUUUUAGAGAUAUGUUAUAUUAUGGCCUAUAGAUUUUAGGUUUUGGAUUCUGAUUUGGUCUACAUUCUAAUUUCAAUGUUUUGGACUUCUAUUUGUGUUUCUUAAUCAAAUAUUGAAUCUAAUUGCGUUAACUUCUCCAGUCUUUUUUGAAAAUUCUGCAUACAUACUAGUGAAUAUUUGUGAAUGUGUGCCCUGUUCUGGUUCAAGAUUGACAAGUUAUGGACUUUUAAAGCAUCUCCAUCACCCACGGAAGCUCCAUCAAGAUUAAAUGUGUGCCCUUGUUAUGGCCUUUUCUUGAUCAUUUUUAGGUCAGGUUUAUUUUUUCAGACAUUUAUGUUUUAAUUGUGUUUGUUCUUUAGUUUUUAUGCAUCUUAAGUGCCAAUACAAAUUAUGUAGUUUCAGAUUAUUUAAUGCAGAUGCAUUUAUUGUACCCCAAUUAUCCUUGCCACCUUAGUUUCUUGUAGAAGAUCUAUAUCUACAUUCACCAGCCUAGCGAUGAAAGAAAUCUUUAUUAUUUGACAUAUUUUUAAAGCCCUGAUAAAAUAUUGCAACCCCACCAAGAUGAAGGACUUUAAUGAUUUAGUUUGUAAUUAGCUGGAACAGGGUGUUGAAGAUGAAAAAUUCAUAGAAUUUAAGUUUCAUCUAGGUUAUGUAUAAUUAAUGCAUUGUUAUAUUUGUUGAAUAUUUACCACAGCCUGAACAAUUGAAUAAGAUAUUUGAGCUAUGCAAAUCUCCAGAUGAGAUUAUUUGGCCUGGGGUUUCCAAGAUUCCCUGGUAUAACAAGUUCAAGCCAACAAGGCCGAUGAAGAGGCGAGUGAGGGAGGUUUUUACACAGUAAGUAUACAAAUUGAAGUUGUUAGUUAGACUUGGAUUUUUUGGUGUCCAUUUUAGUGCAAGAAGUUUGAUAUCCAUAAUUCUUAUAUUGCUUUGCAAUUUUGACCGUCAUGCACUGGAUUUACUAGAGAAAAUGCUAACCCUUGAUCGACCUCAGGUACACAUAAAUCUCAGGCUUAGUGAACUUGUUAUUAUAGACUAUCAGACACUUCAUAGCCAUAGCAUUUUUAUUUAGGUGUGCCAGUGAACACAAUUAUGCGAUAAUGUGAUGUACCAAAAUUUGUUAGUUUGUUUUAGGUCUAGCAACAGGGUGUGGAAGGAUUUUAGUUUGUCCAUAAAUUUUAGACUAAAAUGAUUAGUUUAUUGACAAACUAAAUGAUGAUUUUUUUACUUCAUUAGUUUGGAGAAACUGACAGUACAAUGUCAAUAAAAUGACUUACUUUAUUAGUUUGGAAAAUGACAAUAUAAAUCUGAGUUUUGACUUAUUGCAAAAAGGGUGUGGAGAAAAUGCUAACCCUUUAUUAGUUGUUAUAGGUCUACCAAAAUUCAAUCUUUUAAAAAAUAAAACCGAGAUCCAUUUUUUGACUGACUUUGUGAUUAAGUACACUAAAUAUAUAUUUCAUUAAAUUAAAUGGAACAUAAUGAUUUUGGAUGCUUUUCAUGCCCUAAUUGUUUAUUCAGAAAAUAAAUAAAAAAUUUACAUGUAAACAAAUAAAAUAAAAAUUGAAUUAAAAGUUUAGAUCUUGUUGGGUAAGCAACCAUGUAUCCAAGGUAUUGGGUAUUUAUAGUGCUCCAUAAAAUAGGAUUUAAAACCUUAGUUGCAAGAAACUCCUUAUUGCUACAACUGGCUAGAGAGUUCUUCUUGACAGAGAAAGGAUUAGCUAGUUGCAUUGAAAUUAAGGCAUAUCAAACAAAGUUGGGCUUUGGAAGGACUAGGAGGAUGAUUAUUUUUUUGCGAGUAUAAUUUGGGGAAAUGAUACAUUCCACCGCUUCAUUGUAAAAUCCUUAUGAGCUUAUAAUUUAAUAAUUGAGGUGGCUUGCAUAAUCUGAAAAUAGUCUGAUUCCAAUAUCCCAUCAAAACACAUUCAUCCUAAAUCAUCUAAUUAAUGACACAUUUUUAUAUACAGUUGAGGAUCAUGAUGGUUUCAUCUUUGUGUCUUCAGGGAUUGUUGAUUUUUGGUAGCUUUUGGUGACUGCAUUUUGCAUUUCUGUUUCCAAAAACUCGAUUAGAAAGGCCAUGAACUUAUGAGCACAGAUGAUUAGAUUUGGUGCAGUUCUAUGUAUAUAUUUUUCAUUUUUGUUCUACAACUUUCAAUUCCUUGAAUUUUUUUUUUAUUUUUUUUCCCUUUUCCCUUUUCCCUUUUCCAUUUCACGCAAAGAAUAUUUGCAAAGGAUGCCCUUGGUGCUAAAUAUUUUUGGACUGACCCCAUACCUUGCAAUCCUAGAAGACAAGAAAAAAAGGCAACAACAACGACAAAACGAAGAGAUGGCAAAGAGACAGAAAUUGCAGCACCUACAACAACAUGCUCGUCUGAUUGCUUGCUUUUGCUUAAUGAUAGAGAAGGGAAUGCUGGAUUUGUAGUUUUUGAGUUUGUGGAUUAUUCUUUGCAUCCUUAUCCAGUUGUGUGGCACAGGAACACUAGUUUUCUGAUGAGAGCAACAUCUUGUGAAUGAAAGUGGUUCAGAUUUGGACACUAAGGGUGUUGCAACCAUUGUUUUCUUAGCUAGCUGUCAUUUUAAUCUUUUGAUAAAUGGCUUUACAAUGUAGGCCAAUUUGCAGAAGUUCACCUAGAUUUGGGAUAAGGUUAGUUGAGAUCUGGGGUGGAAUCUCACCGAAAACUUGAUUAUAAAUGUUCUGAGUUUGUCUCAUUGUGUUGAUUUAUGGCUUGACAGAAAAAAAAAAAAAUUGUGGAUAA